rnacentral:rRNA from 1 species
UGCAAGUCGAACGGUAAGGCCCCUUUGGGGGUACACGAGUGGCGAACGGGUGAGUAACACGUGAGCAACCUGCCCUUGACUCUGGAAUAACAGUUGGAAACAGCUGCUAAUACUGGAUAUUCAUUGUCCUCCUCCUGGGGGGUGGUGGAAAGCUCCGGCGGUCAGGGAUGGGCUCGCGGCCUAUCAGCUUGUUGGUGAGGUAAUGGCUCACCAAGGCUUCGACGGGUAGCCGGCCUGAGAGGGCGACCGGCCACACUGGGACUGAGAUACGGCCCAGACUCCUACGGGAGGCAGCAGUGGGGAAUAUUGCACAAUGGGCGAAAGCCUGAUGCAGCAACGCCGCGUGCGGGAUGACGGCCUUCGGGUUGUAAACCGCUUUCACCUGUGACGAAGCUAACGUGACGGUAGCAGGAGAAGAAGGACCGGCUAACUACGUGCCAGCAGCCGCGGUGAUACGUAGGGUCCGAGCGUUGUCCGGAAUUAUUGGGCGUAAAGGGCUUGUAGGCGGUUCGUCGCGUCAGAAGUGAAAACUCAGGGCUUAACCCUGAGCCUGCUUUUGAUACGGGCGGACUAGAGGGAUGCAGGGGAGAACGGAAUUCCUGGUGGAGCGGUGGAAUGCGCAGAUAUCAGGAGGAACACCGGUGGCGAAGGCGGUUCUCUGGGCAUUUCCUGACGCUGAGAAGCGAAAGCGUGGGGAGCAAACAGGCUUAGAUACCCUGGUAGUCCACGCCGUAAACGGUGGGCACUAGGUGUGGGGGACAUUCCACGUUCUCCGUGCCGAAGCUAACGCAUUAAGUGCCCCGCCUGGGGAGUACGGCCGCAAGGCUAAAACUCAAAGGAAUUGACGGGGGCCCGCACAAGCGGCGGAGCAUGCGGAUUAAUUCGAUGCAACGCGAAGAACCUUACCUGGGUUUGACAUAUGCCCG